GUAGGUGGCAAGCGUUGUCCGGAAUUAUUGGGCGUAAAGCGCGCGCAGGUGGUUCUUUAAGUCAGAUGUGAAAGCCCCCGGGCUCAACCGGGGAGGGUCACUGGAAACUGGGGAACUUGAGUGCAGGAGAGGAAAGUGGAAUUCCACGUGUAGCGGUGAAAUGCGUAGAUAUGUGGAGGAACACCAGUGGCGAAGGCGACUUUCUGGCCUGUAACUGACACUGAGGCGCGAAAGCGUAGGGGAGCAAACAGGAUUAGAUACCCUGGUAGUCCACGCCGUAAACGAUGAGUGCUAAGUGUUGGGGGGUUUCCGCCCCUCAGUGCUGCAGCUAACGCAUUAAGCACUCCGCCUGGGGAGUACGGUCGCAAAGACUG
rnacentral:rRNA from 1 species